CCUACCCUCUUUUCUAUUUUUUCAAAUAUUUAUAAGAGCAAAUGUGACUAAUAAUCAUAUGUUCAGAAAUUAUUAACUUCGAUGUGAUAUAACAGAUUAGAUACAUUUAUAAUUAGAAAACUAAUUAAAAAUGAAAUGAUAAGUCAUUAUUUAAUAGCGUAUAUCCACUUUAUUGAUGGUAAGCAUAUUCGACCCUGCACUUCAUGCGUUCUCUGAAUCUCAUGCUCUCUCAAUGCCUUGUGAAUAGUACCAAGCCUGAUCCAUUCAAAAUUCUCACCUAUGCAAUGCAAUCAAGUUUUAAAAAAUCAACAAAUGAUAGCAUCGCUUCUUUCAGCCGACUUUUCAUUCAUAUAUUACAGUUCAAAUAGAUGGGUAAUGAAUGAUAAGUGGCAAAUUUCUGUAGUCAUCUGUACACUUACAACGCGAUGCACCAAACUAAUUAUAGUUAAGAAAGGGUGGAGAGAGGGGUCAGAGUGAGAGAAUAAGUCUAGAAACAGCCAAACCAGUCAGAUUUCAUGCUAAAAUUAAUAACCGUACAAGCAGUUGUUAUCAAGUUAAUCAGUAUCACUCUUGGUAAUGCAUUGUGGUCAGGUCCUGUACUGUAACUCACCUUUCUCUGCUUUGGCCUGGAGAAGCAUUAUGUUUUCUUAGCUUUGUCAGGAUGUAUGCCAUGGCAACUUUAACACCCAGGUUAGAGUGUCCACGGGACAGGCAGAUGACACCACCAAUAAGCAGCAAACCAUUUGCCAAAACUUUCCUUGAUGGCUUUUUAAGGAAUUUCCUCUCUUUGUUUACAUCAGUAAGCAAUCCAUCCAUGGUGAUUACUGCAGGAUUUGCUGGAGUAUCCACAACAAUGUCCAUUUGUUCUAAUCCUGGUGGAACCUAUGUAUAUGUGGAAAUAUUAACCAUUAAAAAAAAAAAGAUGAAAUGCAAAACAAAAUACAUUGACGAUCUCCUGAAUAUGGAAAAAUUACUGAUUCUUUCUUGUACCUUGAACAGGCAGUAAUAGGAUUGUACCUUAUUCAAUCAAUGCUUUUGAAAACUCAUUAAGCUAAUAAUACUAUGUUGAUUGUUCACUAUUAAAUUUUAAAACAUGUUGAAAGGUGUCAGUAAAAAUCAAGAGACAACCAACUGUUCAGUUGGUAGACUGCUGCUGCUGCAUGAUUGCAUCAUAAAUAAAUUCUUUAUCAUGUUCUAAUAUCAGUAAACAUUGGCAGUCUCACCUUCUGGAUCAGAGACAAAGCAGUAACUGCAGGACCCAUCUGAAGAUGACUAAAUGCAUUGUACUUGUGCAGUGCAUUAUCCAUCUUACAAACAUAACUCCAUAUGCCCCUAGCAAAAGCAAACUUCGCCAUCUCUACAUUUAAACCAGCAUCUUCUUGGUGCCACAUUUUGAUCUCACAGGCAUUUCUACCAGGUACUGAAUGAUAUAAAUGUAUCAAGGAAAAAAAAGUAGUAGAUGUAAAUCUUGCACUUGGUGAUUUGGAGGAUGAAAGAAAGAUUAAUAUUUUGCAUAAGUCAAGCUUCCCCAGUAUAGACAAAUCCAGAUUUUGAGAAAAACCAAAGACAAACUCCAGCAAGAAAUUAAAACCCCCCGGUCAGCCUGCAACAAGAAAAUACUUCUAAAGUAAAGUUUAGGAACUUGCCUUUCCCAAUUCUCCAACCAGAUCUAAAGAAACGCACCCGUACAUACUUUCUCUGCCGAGGUACUAAUGGAUGCUCACAUUCCUAAUCAAGGUCAUAAUUUUUUUUUAAAUAUAUAUAUAUUAUUAAGCUUACAAAAGAUUCAAUAGAACUUAAGUGUCAUAAAUUCCUUAAACACAGUGGCAGAACAAGCUAGAUACAAUCAAACCAAAUUACUUUUUUUCCAGGCCAUUCCAUUACCAAUAAAUUUCUUCUUUCACAAAACCAUUAUUGCAACUUGACUUCCUUCCGCCACAAAAAAUAUUAAUACUUGAAAACAAUACAUAUAAUUAUCACGGCAUAUCCAUGCAUAUAGAUUGAAAUUCCUAACCUUGUUCAGUACAUGCAUCAUUUCAGGUUCCAAAGAUUAAAAAAGGAAAAGAAAGGCUAGACCAUAACCAAACAAAAGUGGAAGUAUCUACUGCCACAGUAGAGACAAAAAAUUAUGGACUAAACCAAUUCACAAUUAUGCAAUAAGAAACCUGUAACUUUUUUUUAGGGAGAGAAAGAGAGAGAAUGAAGAUAAGAACAUAACAUAUUUACUCACUAACCAAAGAAUAGGGUGCUCAUGGUUCAGGUAUCUGGACUGUCAGCCAUUUUUCAGCAACUGGAGAAACUUAAUAAAGCAGUAGAAUGUUUUAUCUUUUCCUUCCCAUAAUCUCCAGGCCAAUAUGUAUUCCCUGGGUGUCAAGAGUGGAAAUUUUUUUAUAGUGCAACCAACUUCAGUGCCAUUGGUUUUAUCCACGUCCAGCUGCUUAUGUUCAACCAAGGCCUUGUCCCACUGCUUUCUGUAGUCAUUAUCCAUGUAAAAGUCCUUAAGAAUCUCUGGGGAGCAAUUUUCAAAUACUGUCACACUCAAGUAUUUAAGGGGAGCAUCCUUAGGUUUGCAGCAUUUUGCACUGUAGGAUAGAAGAUUCUUUCUCUUAUCGAUGACAUUUUCCCAUUUCUCAUUCUCUGGGAGCCUCUCAUCCAAAUUAUCUAUUAAAAUCUUUAAAUCUGCUUCUGAUACAACCUCUGAGAUUCGGAAUUGGAGGUUCCCAGAGGGAGAAACGGAAGCACAGGAGGCAGAGGCAACAGAAGGAACAGAAAGGGGAUGGCGUUUAGAGGAUGAGGGAGAUAGGACGUAGAGGAAGAAGGUCUUAGCAGAGUGGAAGAAGAGGAUAACAAGGAGAGCAAUGAGAGUGGCCCAUCCAUAUCCCCAAAAAUGCGUUGAAGAUACUUCAUCGAAAUUAGCCAUCUUGCAUGUAUUCGCUAAUCCCUCUCUGGUGUUUUAGUUUUGAGAGUCGGAUAAAGGGUAGGGAUUUGCAUUUUGCUUGCAGGAGGAGUUUUCCGCCAACAUCUUACGGCUUUCUCACCCCUCGAUUAUCU
rnacentral:misc_RNA from 1 species